AUUGAACGCUGGCGGCAUGCCUUACACAUGCAAGUCGAACGGCAGCGGGGGAGAAGCUUGCUUUUCCUGCCGGCGAGUGGCGAACGGGUGAGUAAUACAUCGGAACGUGCCCUGUAGUGGGGGAUAACUAGUCGAAAGAUUAGCUAAUACCGCAUACGACCUGUGGGUGAAAGUGGGGGACCGCAAGGCCUCAUGCUAUAGGAGCGGCCGAUGUCUGAUUAGCUAGUUGGUGGGGUAAAGGCCUACCAAGGCGACGAUCAGUAGCUGGUCUGAGAGGACGAUCAGCCACACUGGGACUGAGACACGGCCCAGACUACUACGGGAGGCAGCAGUGGGGAAUUUUGGACAAUGGGCGAAAGCCCGAUCCAGCAAUGCCGCGUGUGUGAAGAAGGCCUUCGGGUUGUAAAGCACUUUUGUCCGGAAAGAAAUGGCUCUGGUUAAUACCUGGGGUCGAUGACGGUACCGGAAGAAUAAGGACCGGCUAACUACGUGCCAGCCGCCGCCGUAA
rnacentral:rRNA from 1 species